rnacentral:rRNA from 1 species
AACGAACGCUGGCGGCAUGCCUAACACAUGCAAGUCGAACGAGACCUUCGGGUCUAGUGGCGCACGGGUGCGUAACGCGUGGGAAUCUGCCCUUGGGUUCGGAAUAACAGUUGGAAACGACUGCUAAUACCGGAUGAUGACGUAAGUCCAAAGAUUUAUCGCCCAAGGAUGAGCCCGCGUAGGAUUAGCUAGUUUGUGAGGUAAAGGCUCACCAAGGCGACGAUCCUUAGCUGGUAUGAGAGGAUGAUCAGCCACACUGGGACUGAGACACGGCCCAGACUAAGACGGGAGGCAGCAGAGGGGAAUAUUGGAAAAGGGGGGAAAGGAUGAAAAAGCAAUGCCGCGAGAGUGAUGAAGGCAUUAGGGUUGUAAAGCUCUUUUAACCGGGAUGAUAAUGACAGUACCGGGAGAAUAAGCACCGGCUAACUACGUG